AUGAUCCUUGAUAUAAAAGGUAAAGUCACAUUAUUCAAACUAUUUCAUGUUAAAUUACAAUCCGUCAUAAUAACUUGUAUAAGAAUUGCAACUAACAUUGCGGCCUCUUUAGCUUUGCCAUUAACAUCUCUGGCCCACCAUGAUUUGGCAUUGAUUCAUAUUAUUUCUCGAACUCUUGUUCUUUUUCAAUAA